UCCCCAGUCGCUCAGCAGUAAAGCAUCUAUCUGCAAUGUAGGAGACUCAGGGUUUGAUCCCUGGGUGGGGAA
rnacentral:tRNA from 1 species